rnacentral:rRNA from 1 species
AUUGAACGCUGGCGGCAGGCCUAACACAUGCAAGUCGAACGAGUGGCGGACGGGUGAGUAAUGUCUGGGAAACUGCCUGAUGGAGGGGGAUAACUACUGGAACCGGUAGCUAAUACCGCCUACCAUCGGAUGUGCCCAGAUGGGAUUAGCUAGUAGGUGGGGUAAAGGCUCACCAAGGCGACGAUCCCUAGCUGGUCUGAGCGGAGGACCAGCAACACGGGAACUGAGACACGGUCCAAACUCCUACGGGAGGCAGCAGUGGGGAAUAUGGGACAAUGGGCGAAAGCCUGAUGAAGCCAUGCCGGGUGUAUGAAGAAGGCCUUCGGGUUGUAAAGUACUUUCAGAGGGGAGGCGUUACCCGCAGAAGAAGCACCGGCUAACUACGUGCCAGCAGCCGCGGUAAUUC